rnacentral:rRNA from 1 species
GACGAACGCUGGCGGCGUGCCUAAUACAUGCAAGUCGAACGCAGUGGGGACGGGUGAGUAACACGUGGUUAACCUCCCAUCAGAGGGGAUAACACUUGGAAACAGGUGCUAAACCGAUACUGAUGGAUGAACCCGCGGUGCAUUAGCUAGUCGGUGAGGUAACGGCUCACCAAGGCCACGAUGCAAAGCCGACCUGAGAGGAGUAUCAGCCACACUGGAACUGAGACACGGCCCAGACUCCUACGGGAGGUAGCAUUAGGGAAUCUUCGGCAAUGGACGAAAGUCUGACCGAGCAACGCCGCGUGAGUGAAGAAGGUUUUCGGAUCGUAAAACACUGUUGUUAGAGAAGCGGUAUCUAAACAGAAAGCCACGGCUAACUACGUGCCAGCCGCCGCGGUAAUAC